rnacentral:lncRNA from 13 species
ACAAAACAUGCCCUUUCCAUUACAUAGAUUGACCAGGUAAAUCUAGGUGAAAGAUAUGAUCACUGAUUGAUGUCACUUGUGAAAUCCACUUCAGCAUUGGAGUCAGCAUGGGCUAGCAUCCCUGUGGAAAGCUUUUGACACCUUGUAGAGUCCAUGCCCUGACAAAUUUAGUCUGUUCUGAGGGCAAAAGGAGGUGCAAUUCAAAAUUAGGAAGGUAAUUCCUAAUGUUUUGUGCACUGUUAAGUAGCCUAUAUAGUAUUCUUAAACUUUGAAUUGUAUGGGAGCAUAUUUGGUCCACAUAUGACUAACCUCAUUUAAACUUGAGUAUUUAUGUGCCCUUGACAGGUUGAAUUCAUGGGGGUGGAGAAGCAAGCCAACUGCAACCACCUGAAAGCUGUGUCGUCUAGAAUGAGCCCUUGAGACGCUCCCUCCUCCUCCUCCCUCAUCAUAUUCUCCCUGGCAGUGUUCAUCCAGCCGGACCGUCGAUGGUGUUCACCUUACACCCCCCAGAGGAGUACUGAGGCCGUCUUCCUCAUCCUCUUCAUCAGUCUUCUCAGGAAUGGUACCCCAACAAUUGAUUCCUACAGUCGCCUAGAUGGUCUGCCCAGGAAAGAGCAGCCCUUGGGACUUCUGAAGUCAUCUGGUCUCAACCACAUCCAGUCUGGUAGGAGCACCAUCUUUUUUCUUUCGUUCUUUUGGUCUUUCUCUUACUCUCUCCCUUUGUGUGUGUGUGUGUAUGUGGUCGGACCCGCUGUGGGCUCAUGCCUUACCAUGUGUGUCCCUGCAGGCCUGGCUCAAGGCUAUAGACCAGAGGAAGAAUGGGUCACUGAGCAACAUGUCUGCAUGCUCAUGCAACCAUACCACCAAACACAUACACAGAGUCUAUGGUAGAGCACACUUGCAUGUAAACAUAUGUAUGCGCACACACACACACACACACACACAUAUUUAAUGAUAGUGUUGCUCCAUGCUAGGAUUACCAUCAUCAUCAAAUACUAUCAUCAUUGCCUGUAUGUGUUAGCUAAGGGGUCAUUUAUGCUGUGAGAGCUGCUGUGAGAUGGUGCAGGUAAAGUGCAGUGAAGUGUCAAACG